GGAAUUUUCCGCAAUGGGCGAAAGCCUGACGGAGCAACGCCGCGUGAGGGAUGAAGGCCUCUGGGCUGUAAACCUCUUUUAUCAAGGAAGAAGAUCUGACGGUACUUGAUGAAUAAGCCACGGCUAAUUCCGUGCCAGCAGACGCGGUAAUACGGGAGUGGCAAGCGUUAUCCGGAAUUAUUGGGCGUAAAGCGUCCGCAGGCGGCCCAGCAAGUCUGCUGUUAAAACGUGGAGCUUAACUCCAUCAUGGCAGUGGAAACUGUUGGGCUUGAGUGUGGUAGGGGCAGAGGGAAUUCCCGGUGUAGCGGUGAAAUGCGUAGAUAUCGGGAAGAACACCAGUGGCGAAGGCGCUCUGCUGGGCCAUAACUGACGCUCAUGGACGAAAGCCAGGGGAGCGAAAGGGAUUAGAUACCCCAGUAGUC
rnacentral:rRNA from 1 species